GUGAAUCAUCGAAUCUUUGAACGCAAAUUGCACUUUCUGGUAUUCCGGAGAGUAUGCCUGUUUGAGGGUCAGUUUAAAUAAAAAUUGGUGUGGUUGGUGAAUUUUGUGGUGACGCACGGGAUGUGGGUCGUCUUGCUUUUGGUUAAGUGGCUUAAAAUUGUGCAUGAUUUUUUUUGAAUGUAUUUAAAUGAUUUUAUGUAUGUUUGUGAUUUCGAAUUGUCGGAGUGGUCUUAGUUACGAUU
rnacentral:misc_RNA from 1 species